CAGCACGGUACUGUUACUAGGGAUCAUUUCUAUAGUUUGUUACUAGUGAAAUGCAUUUUUAAAGUGUCUCGCUAACCAUGAUAAGGAGCUACCGUGUUCUCGACUGAGCGUGAAGUGGGUUUUGAAUGUGAAUUUACUGUAGCUGUUCCAGGCCAUUGAUGACCGUUCCUCCCUCUUUUGGGGGUGGAGGAAGAGAACACUAUAUAAGU